rnacentral:misc_RNA from 1 species
GAUGAAGAACGUAGCGAAAUGCGAUAAGUAAUGUGAAUUGCAGAAUUCAGUGAAUCAUCGAAUCUUUGAACGCACAUUGCGCCCGCCAGUAUUCUGGCGGGCAUGCCUGUCUGAGCGUCAUUUCAACCCUCAAGCAACUUCUGCUUGGUGUUGGGGAUCGGCCGUCAAACGCCGCCCCCGAAAUCUAUUGGCGAUCUCGCUGUAGCUUCCUAUGCGUAGUAGUAACAUCUCGCAUCUGGAGAGCGGCGCGGUCAUGCCGUAAAACACCCAACUUCUGAAUGUUGACCUCGGAUCAGGUAGGAAUACCCGCUGAACUUAAGCAUAUCAAUAAGCGGAGGA